GACGAACGCUGGCGGCGUGCUUAACACAUGCAAGUCGAACGAUGAAGAAGAGAAACGCGAACUUCGGUUCAAAUUUCACUUCGGAUUAGUGGCAGACGGGUGAGUAACGCGUGAGCAACCUACCUCUUACAAAGGGAUAGCCUCGGGAAACCGUGAUUAAUACCAUAUGACACAUUCAUAAGGCAUCUUAAGAAUGUUAAAGCUACGGCGGUAAGAGAUGGGCUCGCGUCCCAUUAGCUAGUUGGUGAGGUAACGGCCCACCAAGGCGACGAUGGGUAACCGGCCUGAGAGGGAGAACGGUCACAUUGGAACUGAGACACGGUCCAAACUCCUACGGGAGGCAGCAGUGGGGAAUAUUGCACAAUGGAGGGAACUCUGAUGCAGCGACACCGCGUGAGCGAUGAAGGAAUUCGUUUCGUAAAGCUCUGUUCUAUGGGAAGAAAAGGACUGUACCAUAGGAGAAAGCCCCGGCUAAAUACGUG
rnacentral:rRNA from 1 species